AGUGACUUGAAGAUAGAUUGUAUGUCUGCUUGAGAGCCGACUACCAUUCUUUGUCAUGAAGCUGUGUUUGACUGUAGAAGCUGAGUUGGCAGCAGUCGGGAAGGAGAAAGGGCUGCUGUUGUUGGUGAUGGCGGUAGAUGACGCAUGAGUAAGAGCGAGAACAAGACAGGCGACACUCUGGGAGAAACCAUUCAUGUGCUUGAGCGA